rnacentral:rRNA from 1 species
UACGUAGGGUGCAAGCGUUGUCCGGAAUUAUUGGGCGUAAAGAGCUCGUAGGCGGUUCGUCGCGUCGGCUGUGAAAUCCCGAGGCUCAACCUCGGGUCUGCAGUCGAUACGGGCGGACUGGAGUUCGGCAGGGGAGACUGGAAUUCCUGGUGUAGCGGUGAAAUGCGUAGAUAUCGGGAGGAACACCUGAGGCGAAGGCGGGCUACUGGGCCGAUACUGACGCUGAGGAGCGAAAGCGUGGGGAGCGAACAGG